AGGAUGAGAAAACACCCUCCCUGACCAAUUUAGCAGUGGACAACCCUAAAUAAGAAGCUUAUGGACUUCUCACUGACCAACAACUGAGGGAGAGAUAUACAUUCCCUCUCCACGGCUACAUGUGGUAGGAACCUAACCAGACAGGUCCAUCUGGAGCUUUAUCUGACAAUAUCUACAUCAAUCAAGAAAUAUGGUGGAAUUAUGGCAAAAAUUCUUGAUCAUGCAGUGCUUUUUAUCUAAUUCCUGAGAUAACUUUCAACAAAUAAAUCUCAGUAAUCCACAAAACACUACAGUAAACAACCUUCUUGAUUUCUCAGAAACCCACGGAAAGAAAAAUAAAGGAAAAUAUUCGGCUGAAACAGGAUUUGGGAACACAGUACUGAUUGAUCAUCGUGAUUAUUUCUCAGAGUGUUCUUUGUGUUUAAAAGAGCACAGGAAUCUCAACUGUUUUCCAUUUAUAUCUUUUUAUCAUAAUGUAACGAGAUGGAAGAAAUAAUGACAGACCAGACCGUGAUUCAAACCCAGGCCCUGAAUCUUUAGUCAGGUGCUCUACCAACUGAGUAAUAUGGCAUCAGUAUUUGAACAAAUCUGACUGUCACAUUCCACCCUCCUGAAAUGAUCUUCACCCUUGAAGAUCACCUCAGGCUCUUCCCCUGGAAGGAGAUCACUUGUUAAUUCCAGGGGUUGGUCAUGGCACCAAAUGAAACGGGAUGGGAGGAUUUGGAAUAAUGCCGGACCAGACCAGUUUCAAACCCGGCCCCCUGAAUCUCAAGUCAGGAGCUCUACAAACUGAGCUAUCUAGCGCGCCAGUAUUCGAACCGGUCUGACCAUCAGAAUAACUCUUAUCAUAAAUUAUUAAAGGAGAGAGAGAGAAAAAAAGAGAGAGAGAUAGAUUGAGAGAUUUUCAAGAUAUUUGUGACAUUUAAUUUAUUAAUUCCUACAAAAUACAUAAUCAAAUGGGAAUUUACGAUCACUUGAGUUUUAACUUGAAUAAAGAAAUAAAUGUAUCUUAAAAAUUUUAUCUCUUUUUGUAUGAGCUU